GCCGAAGUGGCGGAAUGGUAGACGCGGUGGAUUCAAAAUCCACUAUCAGCAAUGAUGUGAGAGUUCGAGUCUCUCCUUCGGCA
rnacentral:tRNA from 1 species